rnacentral:rRNA from 1 species
UAAACUCCUUUUCUGGGGGACGAAUAAGGUCAGUAGGUAAUGGCUGACCGAUGACGGUACCCCAGGAACAAGCGCCGGCUAACUUCGUGCCAGCAGCCGCGGUAAUACGAAGGGCGCAAGCGUUAUCCGGAAUUACUGGGCGUAAAGGGCGUCUAGGCGGUCGGUCAAGUCAGUCGUGAAAGUCCUUGGCUAAACUGAGGAAAGUCGACCGAUACUGAUCGGCUAGAGGGACGUAGAGGUAAGCGGAACUCUCGGAGUAGCGGUGAAAUGCGUAGAGACCGAGAGGUACCCCGAUGGUGAAGACAGCUUACUGGGCGUCUCCUGACGCUGAAGCGCUAAGGCCAGGGGAGCGAAGGGGAUUAGAUACCCCCGUAGUCCUGGCUUCAAACUAUGUGGGCUUGGUGUCGGCUCCCGAUAGAGAGUCGUUGCCGGAGCUAACGUGUUAAGCCCACCGCCUGGGGAUUACGUCCGCAAGGAUGAAACUCAAAGGAAUUGACGAA